rnacentral:rRNA from 3 species
CGAAAGCCUGACGGAGCAAUACCGCGUGAGGGAGGAAGGCUCUUGGGUCGUAAACCUCUUUUCUCAGGGAAGAACACAAUGACGGUACCUGAGGAAUAAGCAUCGGCUAACUCCGUGCCAGCAGCCGCGGUAAUACGGAGGAUGCAAGCGUUAUCCGGAAUGAUUGGGCGUAAAGCGUCCGCAGGUGGCUGUGUAAGUCUGCUGUUAAAGAGUCUAGCUCAACUAGAUAAGAGCAGUGGAAACUACACGGCUAGAGUACGUUCGGGGCAGAGGGAAUUCCUGGUGUAGCGGUGAAAUGCGUAGAGAUCAGGAAGAACACCGGUGGCGAAGGCGCUCUGCUAGGCCGUAACUGACACUGAGGGACGAAAGCUAGGGGAGCG